GAAUGGACCAGUGCAGAUGCACAGUCCUUAAAAUGGGAAGAGGAGGAGCCUGAGGAGUCUGUGAUAACUGACGAGGUCAGAGAACUGCAUCGGGAAGGUCUGAGCUAGGACUGAAAACGGAAUGUGUCAUAAACUAAGAAGUCAAGUGUCCUCUGAGCCAAGUCAGAAGUGGAUUGGGCUGAAUGUCCCCCAGAAGGCAUGAAGCCUAGUCAUGACUUUAGCUGGUGACAUCUGUCUCAGAGCCUGUACUCCAGAAAGUAAGCAAAAAUCUCUACACAGCCAUGAAAUGCCAUCUGCUCGAAACCACACAGACCAGCACACCAUGUUUCUCUGAGGUAGGAUGCAUCAUGGGUACAUUUUCUGUCUUAUGCACUUUUGUUCUUUUCGAUUUAUCUAGAAUUUAAUGCUAAACACUAUUUUGGGGGCUAAUGAAGUGGUCAACUUGAAAAGACAGUUGCCAACACAUUUAACAACCUGAGUUCAAUCCCUUGGACCCAUGUGGUAGAAGGCAAGAACAAACUCUGUCUGCUGUCCUCUGAUGGAUCCAUGCAAGCUGUGGCAGCAGUUAGAAAGUGGACAAAUAAAUUGGAGGUGGAUCUGGGAGAGUAGAUCAGACUUCAGUGGGAGAGACAAAGAUGACGAUGUUAUUGUAACAAUUCCCAAAAGAACUUGUGGACUGUAAUUGGUAAAACAGCCCAGGCAGACAAUACUCCAAUGAGUCUACUGAAAAGUCUUCUGUCAGUUUUUAGGAGAAUUCUUUAAAUAAGAAAGAUUUCAACCCCUGCACCUGCGUGCAUUUCAGCAAGAACCACAAUAACCAAAACUAUAAUGGUAUCUCAGCUUCCUGCCAAUCCCUUAGGAAAAGGGAUGACCAGAACCACUUACCCAUGUCCCUUAGAGUUCAAUUUCACAAAUCGCUAAUUUGAGGUAACCUUGGAAAGUUCAGAAAAUCCUCUGAUCUCCAACUAUAUAAUCUGAAUAAUAAUACAGGGGCUAAGGGUAUACACCUCAAUGAUACGCCAUGUAUCCAGCAUCUUUGGGGCCCAGGGAUAAAUCCUCAGCUCUAAGUGAUAAGGACACAGAUCUACCUGUCCCACAAGAUCCUUACAAGAAUCAAAGAAGACAAUGAAGAGGACAUCAUGCUGCAUGAUAGCCACAGCUCUGAUUGACAGCAGGACAAUGUGUAAGAUGCUUUGGAAAAUCAGCGUUCAGCUUUACCUCCUGUCCUAGUUUGCUUUCUAUGGCUG
rnacentral:sRNA from 1 species